rnacentral:rRNA from 1 species
UCAUCCCGACUUACCAAACCGAUGCAAACUCCGAAUACCCAGAAGUGCCGAGCAUGGGAGACACACGGCGGGUGCUAACGUCCGUCGUGAAAAGGGAAACAACCCAGACCGCCAGCUAAGGUCCCAAGUUGUGGUUAAGUGGUAAACGAUGUGGGAAGGCUUAGACAGCUAGGAGGUUGGCUUAGAAGCAGCCAUCCUUUAAAGAAAGCGUAAUAGCUCACUAGUCGAGUCGGCCUGCGCGGAAGAUGUAAC